CCCGCUGAACUUAAGCAUAUUAAUAAGCGGAGGAAAAGAAACUAACAAGGAUUCCCCUAGUAACGGCGAGUGAAGCGGGAAGAGCUCAACGUGAAAAUUGGUGUGCCAAACGGCACAUCGAGUUGUAGUCUAGAGAUGCAUGGUCAGCGAGUGACCUCGGUAUAAGUCUUUUGGAACAAAGUAUCAUAGAGGGUGAGAAUCCCGUCUUUGACCGGGAGUUCGCCGCGUACGACCUGCAUUCAAAGAGUCGAGUUGUUUGGGAAUGCAACUCUAAAAGGGUGGUAAAUUUCAUCUAAAGCUAAAUAUCCACGAGAGACCGAUAGCGAACAAGUACCGUGAGGGAAAGAUGAAAAGAACUUUGAAAAGAGAGUUAAAAAGUACUUGAAAUUGUUAAGAGGGAAGCGAUGGCAACCAGUCGUGCAGCGUAAGAAUUCGUUAGUGGACAAAGGAGAGAGGCGUGUUUUGGGUGCAGUUCCGUAUGGUCUGACUCUGACAACUGCUCUCUUGUGUCGGCUAGCAUUAGUCUUGCGUUUUUUUCUGUGGAUCAGCAUCAGUUCGAUUUUUUAGUGCGUGGGAGAAUACCGAGAGGAAGAUAGGGGUGUCCCCUAAAAAGUUCACCCUGUUAUAGACUCUUUGGCUAUACCAUGCCUUGGACUGAGGCUCGAGCGGAUCUCCUCCUGCAUCCUGCGGCGUCAUCUUUGUAGAGAACAAAGUUCUGUGCGGAGAACCACGUCGUACUGGUGUAGGGUCAGGUCGAUCCGUGUUCGUGAUGCUGAUGAAAUGGUUUUCAUUGACCCGUCUUGAAACACGG
rnacentral:rRNA from 1 species